UAGCAGGAAAGUUCUUAAUUGCUCUGUUCUCUCUUUACUCCCUGGAUCAACUCUGGUAUUUUUCUACGGUUUUAAUUAAUUAUGGCUCCUACUUUCCUCUCUCAAAACAGAAAGGGAGGAAGAAUGACAGGUAGAAGUGAGCUGGCCAGCUGGAACACAGUGGGCAGUUGAGGGGACACUGGUCGUGCAGAAGGCUCUUGGCAGUGUUCCUCUCUGAAAGAAUACUUUCAGUGUGCUGUACUGUUCUCCAGCACUUCUUUAGCGAAUUGUCUAAGCUGGCAUAAGCAUCAAAGGGAUAAGAGGAGGACAGGGGAAUGGGGCACGUGUCUGCGGGGUGAGUCUCCAAUGAAUGGCUGACAGUGGUAAACAGCCUUUCAGCACUGCUUCUGCAAGGGUCAUCCUUAUUUGUGAAACAGUCAUCUGCAGCUUACAGUCUGAAAAUGAAGCUAUUUCCUGAAACCGUUCUCAGCAGUGAGGCAAGUUGGUCACCUAGACAAGCAGAUUCUCUGAAGCCAAUGAAUUGAUGUACA
rnacentral:lncRNA from 1 species